rnacentral:antisense_RNA from 1 species
CGCGCGGUGACCGUCGAGGUGACCCGCACCUGGCUCCAUGGCGGAACCGGCCGGCGUGGAUUAUUCCCCUCUCGGGAGAGAGGUCUGCAGCCGGGCCUCAGUGCUUCAGUUCGUGGCCUGGCAUUUUGUGAAGAGUGUCUUCAUCUCUGCAUCCCUAGUGCAACAGAGCAUGAUAAAAAUUCAAUAAAUAUUUAUUGCAGAGUCUUGAUGUCUUUUGGGAAAGGAACUCUAUGGUUACCUUUACUCUAAGUUAAAAAACAACAACAACAACAAAAAAAAAACCCACAAAACCCUGAGGCUCAGAAGAUAAAUAUUUGCUGAAGAUCACUGUGCUUAUUAGAAGGGUGUUACUGAUUCUUACCUCAGAGAAGAGAAUGUCAUGGAGACAAAAUGACCUGCUUAGAGUUCUGCGCCCCCCAGCAUGGAGAGCAGAGCGCAAAGAUUUCCUCCAGACUCCCACAUUCUCCCUUGGAAUCCAAGAACUUGUCUACUAUCACAACACUUUAGUACCCACUUAGAUGGGGUCUCACUCUGUUGCCCAGGCUGGUCUCAAACUCCUGGCUUCAAGGAAUCCUCCUGCUUCGGCCUCCCAAACUUCUGGGAUUACAGAUAUGAGCCACCAUGGCUGACUGACGGGCACCAAAUUCUAGGAGAGGACUUGAAUAGGCUCCUAAGGAGGCAGCAGAAACCAAGGUAAUCACAAUGGUCAACAGCAGCGAAGGCAGCACUUUCUGA